ACACUUUUUUUUAAAAAAAAAAAAAAAAAGUAAUAUAAUGAAAGAAAACGUAUAAAACUAUCCACGUCCAUUUUUGUACAAAUACUGGAGACUCUGACCAGGGAACUUUUUCCACAAACAACCAGAAUGUUCUUAGACUGCACGAGCCCCCUCAGCACACUCCUUCCGUCAGUGAAAUUGAAAUAUGAUUAGUCAUUAUACUCCAAGAUCGAGGAACUUUCAUACAAUGGAAUCCCUCAAAGAUCAAAUUUUGGAAAUUUC
rnacentral:misc_RNA from 1 species